UAGGGAAUCUUCCGCAAUGGGCGAAAGCCUGACGGAGCAACGCCGCGUGAGUGAUGAAGGUCUUCGGAUCGUAAAACUCUGUUAUUAGGGAAGAACAAAUGUGUAAGUAACUAUGCACAUCUUGACGGUACCUAAUCAGAAAGCCACGGCUAACUACGUGCCAGCAGCCGCGGUAAUACGUAGGAGGCAAGCGUUAUCCGGAAUUAUUGGGCGUAAAGCGCGCGUAGGCGGUUUUUUAAGUCUGAUGUGAAAGCCCACGGCUCAACCGUGGAGGGUCAUUGGAAACUGGAAAACUUGAGUGCAGAAGAGGAAAGUGGAAUUCCAUGUGUAGCGGUGAAAUGCGCAGAGAUAUGGAGGAACACCAGUGGCGAAGGCGACUUUCUGGUCUGUAACUGACGCUGAUGUGCGAAAGCGUGGGGAUCAAACAGG
rnacentral:rRNA from 1 species